GUCUCUGUUUGCAACCCAAACAAUUGUUUGAGGAUUGAUGUUGUUGUACCAUAUUCCGAGGUAAUAGUUGGUGUUGGAACCUCUGAAGAAGCCCAGCACGAAGGAUUGGUUUUGUGAUAAUAGCGUUUGGUUGGUUGUGAGGUUUUGUGUUCCGGUUAAAGUAUCCGAAGAGGUGGAUGGAAUGAUGAAGAAGAAGA